AAUAAGGACACUCAGCUCACUCAGGAGAGAAUAUCAAACAGUCUGGAAUUUUCCUGUUGCUGGCAGCACAGCCCAGGAGCAUCCUGAGGGAACCAGAGUCUUUAUAGCAUCAGUGAAAAGGAACUCUGUCCUCCUUAUCUUCCUGCUUUUCUCAGUUCAGCCCCCAUUCUUAUUCCAUUGGUGCCUGGAGGAAGUCUUGGUUAAAAGCUUUCUGAUGGAGACAUUGAUGAUUAGUUUGGAAGGAGCCAGAAGGUGAGAGGGCUGAAGCAGGAAGGAUGCUUGUG
rnacentral:lncRNA from 9 species